GACGAGCUCCCCAAACGUUAUUCGGUAUUACUGGGCUUAAAGAGUUCGUAGGCGGCUUUGUAGGUGAGGUGUGAAAGCCCUCGGCUUAACCGAGGAACUGCGCUUCAAACCGCAAGGCUAGAGGGAGAUAGGGGUAAGCGGAACAGAUGGUGGAGCGGUGAAAUGCAUUGAUAUCAUCUGGAACACCGGUGGCGAAGGCGGCUUACUGGAUCUCUUCUGACGCUGAGGAACGAAAGCUAGGGUAGCGAACGGG
rnacentral:rRNA from 1 species